CACCUGAUCCUUGAGAAAGUGGUCAUCCAGAAAGUCGCACAGAUGAGGAUCGCUGUGCUUGCUACCCAUGGCGUGCAAGUCCAGCAGCGACUUUAAUACGAAAAUCAGUUCACAACCGACGAUAAUUUUAAUUGAGUGCAAACUCGAUGGCAGUCAAAGGGGAGGCCCAUUCUUGCUCGGCAGGAGAAGCCACCCCAGUGAAAAUAACUCGUCCUCCUCGACGAUUCUGGUACUUGAUGAGCUUCCGAACAUGGCCACUUUCUUCUUCAGCUGACUCUUGAAAGUAUUUGGAGAAGCCGAUCAUGGCUACGUCAUCGCGAUCGUAAAAGGCGCUCUAAAUUCAAACGUUGUAUAAGGGAAAACCCUGUGGCAGUAGAUCCGGGAAGAGGAGUUCCUUCGCUUGCCUUAUUACUUCAUGGGAAAAUCCUUUGCAGAUUUUGUGCAGUUCUAUACUCCAGCCGCGUGACUAUUCGUCAUUUUAUUUUUCCAACUGACUGGCAGUGCUUUCCCCCGAGAGAACACAUGCCUGUCCUACCUCAUAAUAAAAGGUUUUCAGGUGAGAGUCCUUAUUUGACUUCCUGGACAUGUCUUGUCGCUUAAAAUGGACGGAGUUUCUCCUAUCAGCACCGCUUCCGCCGCUGGAUCACUUGGCGCUCGAAAUUUGUGUGACAGUUGGGAAAUGGACGUUGAGCUUGGGUGUGACGAUUGAAAGUUCCCACCAGGAUUAUCCUCAAAAGAUUAUGAUGGAUUAUGAAAUGGAUCAACUCGUCAAACAACCUCCGCCUCCAACCAUGGCAUAACCUAAGCCCAGUCUAAUCCCAUAAUCCCCCGACGCCACAUUUUGAAAGAGAUGGAUAAUCCAUUUGCGGAUGUGGCGGCAGGAAGGGUUUGACAGGAUUUCUUCAGCUACUCCGACCAAUGGAAAGAAAGUCACUUUGACGAAACUAAAACGGUCGGAAAAAAGUAAAACCAAACAUCCACACCCACACCCACACAACAACUACUGCUACUACUACUACUCCGUUCUCUGUCAUCUGGACAUCUCGCUACUUCCCAAAAGAUUACUAUCCAGUGGGUCCCGCUUUGAAAUCAUCUUCCGGAUCGGGUCGUCAGUGCCACUUUUACGACGAAAUCCAGCUGGCGCUACUGGAUGCGGAGUUCAUCAGUGAUUCGUUUCCUAAUCGAGAAAGUCGUCGUCGCAUCGCCCAGUAGAUUGGCGUCUCUG